GCGCUCGCUUCGGCGGCACAUAUACUAAAAUCGGAACGAUACAGAGAAGAUAAGCAUGGGCCCUGCGCAAGGAUGAUACGCAAAUUCGUGAAGCUUUCUAUUUUUUA